AGUGAACGCUGGCGGUAGGCCUAAUACAUGCAAGUCGAACGGCAGCACAGUAAGAGCUUGCUCUUACGGGUGGCGAGUGGCGGACGGGUGAGGAAUACAUCGGAAUCUACUUUUUCGUGGGGGAUAACGUAGGGAAACUUACGCUAAUACCGCAUGCGAGCUACGGGUGAAAGCAGGGGAUCUUCGGACCUUGCGCGAUUGAAUGAGCCGAUGUCGGAUUAGCUAGUUGGCGGGGUAAAGGCCCACCAAGGCGACGAUCCGUAGCUGGUCUGAGAGGAUGAUCAGCCACACUGGAACUGAGACACGGUCCAGACUCCUACGGGAGGCAGCAGUGGGGAAUAUUGGACAAUGGGCGCAAGCCUGAUCCAGCCAUACCGCGUGGGUGAAGAAGGCCUUCGGGUUGUAAAGCCCUUUUGUUGGGAAAGAAAAGCAGCAGGUUAAUACCCCGCUGUUCUGACGGUACCCAAAGAAUAAGCACCGGCUAACUUCGUG
rnacentral:rRNA from 1 species